AAAGGAGUCAGUGUGUGAUGGGACGUCGGGGGGAGAGGUUGUGCGCGAUGGACCUCCCUUCCCAAGUGAUUUUCUAUCCGUAGAUGAAUAGAAAAGAGAAAAAAUAGAUGUAGAUGUUUUGAUGGUUGACAAGAGACAUUAGCCAUUGUUGACUCUUUGAAAUUUGAAUUUUUGAAGUAACGGAAAUAACGGACAAAGUUUUGAAUAUGAAAACUAUUUGGGUUUUGAGCUAACAGAUUUUUUUUUUUGUCAAGGAUUAAAUUGAAAAUUUUGAAUUGAUAGAGAAAUUAAUGGUUUGAUUUAAAAAUAACGGAAACAACAACAACAACAACAACAAAAAUGAAACUAGAAGGAAAAAAAGUUGAUUUUGAAACAAAGGAAAUUUUGAAAAUAAGGAAAGGAAAUCUGAAAACAGGAAAAGCUCUGGGUUGAAAAGAAGAAGAAGAAAAAGAAGAAGAAGAAGAAGAAGAUUCUGAGGCAGUAUAGCAAAAACUGACUUACAAUUCUGAAACAGAGAGAGAAGAAAAGAAAAACAAAAAACUUGUAGAUUUUGAAAGAGAACAAAAGAAGAUUUGAUUUUGCAAUAGAAAUAAAGAAAGUAGAAUUUGAAACUGAAGAACUGACGAAAAUUUGCAACAGAAAAAAAAGGGAAGAAACAAAACAAAACAAAACAAGCAGAGUAUCAAAUUUUGAAGUAGAGAGAAGGAAAGAACAAAACGUCAGAUUUUGAAAAAAAAAAAAAAAUGAAAUAUAAUGAAAGAAAAAUUAGAUUUCCAACGAGAAGAACAAAGUAGAAUUUUUAGAUAAAAAAAUAAAAUUGGCUUAGAAAAGUUAAAAUUUUUAAAGGUAGAAAUGUAGAAAAAUAUUUUUUUCGUGGCAUUGAAAUUAAGCUUACGAAUAUUACUGAUAAUUUUAACUGGAAAAUAAUACGAUGAGAUAAUACUCUCAUUUGUAAAUAUAUAUGUUUAUGUAUGUAUAUCUAUAUACAUAUAUAUAGAUAUAUAUAUAUAUAUCUAUAUAUAUAUAUAUAAAUUUCUUUUUAUAUAAUUAAUGAAAAGAAUAUUUGCUCGGUCCAACAGAAAUUUGGAAAAACCUGGAAAUUUUUGCGGAAACGAAGUAAAUAUUUUUUCUGUGACAAGAUCAUCACCUCAGCAAUUCUGAAACUCGAUGGAAUGAAGGUGAUCAUUUGUAAUAAAGAAACGAAUUUUGGAAAAGGAGGAUGACUCAGUAACACCUGGAAUUUGCUGCACACCUCAGUGAGAACACCUUGAGUUUCGCUGCACAACCUAACGAGAACACCUUGAGUUUUGCGGCACAACUUAAUGAGAACACACAUAGAGUUGAAGUUUGGAGAGAUAACCAAGACAUUUUUACAAGAACCCUCAAGACACUUCACAAAAGAAUCAAGGAAUUUCCAACAUAAGGAAUGUUUUAGAAAAUAAACUUAUUUUCGAACAAGCAAAAGAAAGAAAGAAAGAAAGAAAAGACAAGUAAAUAUUGAGAAACUGACAAAAAAAAAAAAAAAACAGGAAAGAAAAGAAGAAAUAAAGGAAGACAAGGUAGAUGAAGAGAUAAUAAAUAAAUAAGAAGAAAAGAAAGAAAGAAAAUUUGAAAAAAAACUAUUACUACUACUACUACUACUACUAUUACUACUACUACUGGAAAAAUAGUAGAUUAUUAAGAAAUAUAGUAUCAUUUGCACGACAACAACAACAACAACAACAACAACAACAACUACUAUUACUACUACUACUACUACUACUACUACUACUACUACUACUACUACGAGAAUGAUAACAAGAAAUUAAGAAGAAUAGAAGGAAAAAAGAAAACAAAGAAAAAGAGAAGACCAGAAUAGUCAGAUAGUCAAAUAGUCAAGAUGGAGAACUAUCAGGAUAGUGAGACGAAAAGCACCUUGCUAUUAGACACUCAAAAUAGUGAUAUAGAAGGAAUAGUACUCUGCCCCCUUACUACUACUGCGACUACUACUAUCACUGCUACUACUACUACGACUACUUCUACUACUACUACUACUACUACUACUACGUUUGAAACCGAGGGCACUUUGUAUAGAGCCAGAGCACCAUUUACUUCGAUUAGCGAGGAUGAGAUGCGGCGGGCCCCGAUCGCUUCCCUGGACUGCAUGGAGGACUUUCAGGGAUGCGGGGACAACAUUCAGGGGCGCAACGAUCCCCCGCAGCAGCUAGGCGAUCGCGCAGGGCAGGGCCUCAUCAGCGGAACAAUACGAUACAAACCCUUGGGAAAAAGUGGACUACGUGUCUCUCAGUUGGGUUUAGGCGCGUGGGUGACGUUCAACCCUCAAGUGAGCGACGAGGUGGCGGAGGAGGUGGUGACGGUGGCCUAUGACUGUGGCAUUAAUGUGUUCGACUUGAGCGAGAGUUACAGUGGCGGGCGCGCUGAGGUGCAGCUCGGCGCUAUCCUCAAGAAGAAGGGUUGGCGGCGCUCCUCCUACCACGUGCUCACUAAGGUGUACUGGAAUUCAAAGGGUGAUGAGAAGGGGCUGAGUCGCAAGCACAUCAUAGAGAGCAUCAAGGCCUCGCUGGACAGAUUGGGCUUGGAGUAUAUCGACGUCAUGGUUAUCCACCGCGCUGAUGACAUGUGUCCUAUGGAAGAGGUUGUACGCGCGUGUCACUACUGCAUUGAGCAAGGAAUGGCCAUGUACUGGGGCACGUCACGAUGGACUGCUGUUGAGAUUAUGGAAGCGUGGACAAACUGCCGCCAGUUCAACUGUACCACACCAAUAGUGGAGCAGAGUGAAUACCACCUGUUCUGUCGCGGCAAGACUGAACUAUACCUGCCGGAGAUGUACAAUAAAAUAGGAGUGGGCACAAUGGCUUGGUCUCCCCUAGCAAUUGGUCUUAUCUCCAGCAAAGUGGACGAUGGCACCCCGGUGUUCACAAGGCAGAGUUUUAAGCGCAAAAACACUCCUUCACUCACUUGGCCGGAUGAGGAAGUAAAUAUCCCUGCAGCAACAGCUCGCGAUCAGGGGUACACGUGGCUGAAGGACAAGGGGGGGGCGGAGGAGCAGAGGAAGCAACAGGCGAGGCUGCGUGAGUUGUGCGCCUUGGCAGAGGAGCUGGGCUGUACCCUCACCCAGCUGUCAGUGGCCUGGAGCCUCAAGAACGAAAACCUCCACUGUGUCCUGAUUGGCGCUGCCUCCGUGGAUCAGCUGCUGGAGAACCUUCAUUCCCUUCAGGUGGCCAGCAGACUGCGGCCGGAACACCUGACUGAAGUGGAACGCAUCCUGGAUAACAAACCAGUGCGCCCUCCGAUGGUGUCAACGCUAGCACAGAGAUGACAGGAGCUAACCGCUGCAGGAGCCGAGGAGCUGCUGGAAGAUGAGUUUACCAGCGCAAGGAAAUGAAGAGAGAGGGAGAGGCAGAGAGGGAGAGGCAGAGACAAAGAGUCAAGAUGAAUAUUAAGACAAGUGUUACGAUCAAGAUCAAGAUGCAUUGCAAAAAAUGAUCUUAAUCUUCAUCUUGAUUGGGAAUUUCCAGCGUUCCUGGCAAAGAAUUGUUGUUGUUCUUGUCGUUGUUUUCCAGUUGUUGGGAAACAGUGGAAACGAAAACACCAUUCUGUGUCAUAAUGUAACUCCCACUACUACUACUACUACUACUACUACUACUACUACUACUACUACUACUAACUACUACUACUACUGCUACUACUACUACUACUACUACUACUACUACUACAAGAUGUAGAGGAAGGAGAAGAAGAAAAAAAGGAGAAGAAGAAGAAGAAAAGAAGAAGAAGAAGAAGAAGAAGAAGAAGAAGAAGAAGAAGAAGAAGAAGAAGAAGAAGAAGUAGAUAAAACAAUAAAAUAAAAUGAAGAAAUAAUAAUGAUAAUAAUAAUAAUAAUAAUAAUAAUAAUAAUAAUAAUAAUAAUAAUAAUAAUAAUAAUAAUAAUAAUGAAAUAAUAAUAAUAAUGAUAAUAAUAAUAAUAAUAAUAAUAAUAAUAAUAAUAAUAAUAAUAAUAAUAAUAAUAAUAAUAAUGUUAUAUGAGAUUGUAGUAGUAGUAGUAGUAGUAGUAGAAACCAUUAUUAUUAUUAUUAUUAUUAUUAUUAUUAUUAUUAUUAUUAUUAUUAUUAUUAUUAUUAUUAUUAUUAUUAUUAUUAUUAUCGUCAAUAAAUGAAGUGCCUGUAUUCAUCAGUCAGUCAAUCACUACUACUACUACUACUACUACUACUAUUACUACUAUUACUAUUACUAUUACUACAACUACUACUGCUACUACUACUAUUACUACUACUACUACUACUACUACUACUACUACUACUACUACUACUACUACUACUACUACUACUACUACUACUAUUACUACUGCUACCACUGCUACUACCACCACUACUACUACUAUUAAUAAUAUUACCACUUUGAAAUUAAUUAUCAAUAACUAUUAUUAUUAUUUUUAUUAUCAUUAUUAUCAUUAUCAUUAUUAGUAUUUAUGAAUUUAGAUAUUAGGCAGUUUGUGAAGAUAGUGUUAAGCGUCACUCAUUAUACAAAGUUUGUUUCGCGUUAUGCAUUAUCCAUGAGCGUUAGAGUGUAUACAUUUAUAUAUAUCUUGCUUGCGUGCUGGCCACAAGUGUUGCCACAUUUCACUGCUCGUCACUGGAGACCUAAGGAUACAAACAGAGCCACACACUAUACAUGCAUUAUUCACUACUAUGCACACCCAUACGUCAUACAUUACGCAUUGUGACGCAUGGUGAAGACUCCUGUGGCUUAUAUGCACACACAACACGCCAAGCACUUCCGGUUCACUGUACUCCAUCAUCACAACUGGGAGGGAUUUGACGUUUUUACCUAACCAAAGCAAAGGGCGACUAAACACACCAACGUUUGCCCAAGACUUAAUUUUUUUCCGGCGUGGUACAGUGGGACCAUGCGCGCUUAGGGGGCUGAGGGGUCCGUUGGCGCAUGUGUUCGAAUCCUGGCCACGUCCGAGGUUAGGAAGGGCAUCCACUCGGGGUAACGGUUUCCAAAUGCCAAAUUCAAAGUCCUUCUUUAUGAGACACCGUAAUAACCUUGAAAGACGAGAGAAACUGGACGUAAAAAAAAAAAAAAUCAAUAUCAAUUUUCAAAAAAAAAAUAUCUUCCUCUUAAAGAAAAGUUAACUCGUGUGUUUCUGAAACUGCAUGAAUAAACAAGAAAUGGAUAUCAGAUAAACGAGAGAGGGAGAGAGAGAGAGAGAGAGAGAGAGAGAGAGAGAGAGAGAGAGAGAGAGAGAGAGAGAGAUCACAAUAAUUUCAAAUAAUACAAAGUGUUGGUGAAAAAAUCCAUAGUUCUCAAAAACGUAAGAUCGAGGCAUUGCAAGUCGGAAGUACUGUAUGGUGAAAUGCUGUUAAUGCGAUGGUUUAGAAGUUAGAGGACAUUGAAGUAUGCACACACAUCAGUGGCCGGUGGCUGCACACGGGCCGUCCUGCUGUGCCCGGCUGGUCGCUGCUGCCUCACGGUGUACGUUGUAUUAUAGCUAUUGUUUGCAGGAACGAUGCGCUGAGGUCUUGGUUAUAGUUAUGUAUGUGAAAACUUUGUGAUGGGUAAUUAAGUAAGAGCCUCAUGAAGCUGACGGCCGCCAUUGUUGUCCUCUCCCUCUCUCCUCCCUCGCCAAUGAGGCCUCGCAAGGGCCUCAAAAGUUGACGGGUUCACCAGCAAACUAAAUUUUACACACAAAAAAAUAAAUAAAUAAAUAAAAUAAUAUAGAAAUGAAUAAAUAAAUAAAUAUUUCGCUCUGUUAAAGAAGAAGAAGAAGAAGAAGAAAAAGUCAUUUGUGUGUUAUGAAAUUAACUGAUAAAAUAUUAGCAACAUUUUCAACGAGCCUCAUCAAGUAGAGAGCAAGGCGUGGGACAACACGAAAGCUAUUUUUUUCCCUCUAUAAUUUUACUUAAUCCAUUGAAGUUAUACAAUUAUCACUCAUCUUUGUAAGUCGUGGCACAGAGCAAAGAAUUAUACUGGUGAAGACUGACUAUUGACACUGCAUCCCGUUUUCUUCUCUGAGGUUCCCAUUUUCUUCUGUGGCAAUAUAAGCAUCUUUUACGCCCAGUUCUUCAUCCGUGCCAUGUCCGCGCAGUCAGCCACAGCACAUGCACACCCCUGGAUUUAACGACACCUCCGCACGCUGAUAUUUGACGCCUAGAAUUUUUUGUAUUUUGGAGAAGUCGGCGUCUGUGAUGUGUGGCUGGUCUUUCGUCAUCUUGCUACAGUUUGUGCCGCGUCAGCAUUCCCAGCAACGCAACUAACACUUGUUCGAUUCUUUGGUGGACUUGCAAAAUACAGCGUUAGUCCCUGAGGAAACCAGUGGGGGAUGUCUCAAACUAAGUAAUCUAGCAGGGAGUAGACAUAGAAGUGAAAUCCUACAAAAGUCGUGUGAGAGGUGUUGUGCUGAGUGUGCGUCGCCUUGCCUGGUGGACACUGCUUGUAAACACUGUGCAUAGAUGUUUUGUAGGCUGUAGGUGCAGUACAUGAAAAAUUUAUCACAAGAGGUAAUUUAAGAAUGAGUACCUCUAGAGAAUUGUGGGAAUGUAUACAGCCAGCAACGUUCCAAUUCUUAGCGCGUUCAUACUAAAAUAUCCUUUAAUUUCUAAGCCACGGCGUUGAAAGUGUUUCGCUAUAAAAUAUUUACAGCUUACAAUUAAUCUGAGCGUUCACGUCUAAGCUUGUGACUUUCCUUCCGGGACAGCCUGUAUAUUCAGAUUUUGAAAAGAAUGCGAGUGGGUGAAAAAAGAAAGUUAGAAUGAAGGUCAACAUAAUAUCAGACUCAAAAUGAACUUGAAGGAAUAGAAAUGGCAGUGAUAAAAUCUACAACCUCUACUACUACUACUACUACUACUACUACUACUACUUCUACUACUACUACUACUUCUACUAAUAAUAACAGUAAUCAAAAGUACCAAACCUUAAAGGAACCAUCCCCCAUCCUUACCCAAACACACAAAAAAAAAAAAAAAUAAAUAAAUAAAUAAAAAAAUAAAUAAAUAAAAACAAAUAAAUAAAAUAGAUAGAUAAGUAAUGAAUAAUUAAAAGUAAACAAUGUAAAUAAAUAAAUAAAAAUAAAAACAAAUAGUUGAAAUAAGUAAUGAAAAAAAAACAGCAACGAAAACACCAACAACAAAAAUGUGAAAAAAAACAAUAUUAAAAAAAAAACGUCACUAAUUAGAUAUAACAAAACUAACUACUACUACUACUACUACUACUACUACUACUACAUGAAAUAAGAAACAUCCUCUUAGGUGUUUCAGAAGAAUACUUCAGAAUAAAUAAAUAGAUCAAUAAAUAUUUAAGAGAUAAUGAUCAAACUAUUGUACUUUUCUGAAGAUUAUUGUACGUCAGAUAAAAAAAAGAAAUAAUGAUAAUAAUAACUAAUAAUAAUAAUAAUAACUAAUAAAAAGAGUAAUAAUGAUGAUGAUGAUGAUGAUGAUAAUAAUCAUAAUAAUAAUAAAAGUUUCGGAAGUGUUCUCAAGACGUCAUACACCAAGUUUG